rnacentral:rRNA from 1 species
UACGAAGGGAGCUAGCGUUGUUCGGAAUCACUGGGCGUAAAGCGCACGUAGGCGGAUUUGUCAGUCGGGGGUGAAAUCCCGAGGCUCAACCUCGGAACUGCCUCCGAUACAGCAAAUCUCGAGUCCGGGAGAGGUGGGUGGAAUUCCUAGUGUAGAGGUGAAAUUCGUAGAUAUUAGGAAGAACACCAGUGGCGAAGGCGGCCCACUGGCCCGGUACUGACGCUGAGGUGCGAAAGCGUGGGGAGCAAACAGG